GACUCAACACGGGGAAACUCACCAGGUCCAGACACAAUGAGGAUUGACAGAUUGAGAGCUCUUUCUUGAUUUUGUGGUUGGUGGUGCAUGGCCGUUCUUAGUUGGUGGAGUGAUUUGUCUGCUUAAUUGCGAUAACGAACGAGACCUUAACUGUUAAAUAGCCCGUAUCGCUUUGGCGGUACGCUGGCUUCUUAGCAGGACUAUCGGCUCAAGCCGAUGGAAGUUUGAGGCAAUAACAGGUCUGUGAUGCCCUUAGAUGUUCUGGGCCGCACGCGCGCUACACUGACAGAGCCAGCGAGUACUUCCUUGGCCGAAAGGUCCGGGUAAUCUUGUUAAACUCUGUCGUGCUGGGGAUGGAGCAUUGCAAUUAUUGCUCUUCAACGAGGAAUCCCUAGUAAGCGCAAGUCAUCAGCUUGCGUUGAUUACGUCCCUGCCCUUUGUACACACCGCCCGUCGCUACUACCGAUUGAAUGGCUCAGUGAGGCUUCCGGACUGGCCCAGAGAGGUCGGCAACGACCACUCAGGGCCGGAAAGCUAUCCAAACUCGGUCAUUUAGAGGAAGUAAAAGUCGUAACAAGGUU
rnacentral:rRNA from 1 species